GGGGUUGUAGCUCAGUGGUAGAGCACUUGCCUAGCAUGUGUGAGGCUGGGGUUUGAUCCCCACCACCACA
rnacentral:tRNA from 1 species